rnacentral:snRNA from 1 species
GUGCUUGAUUGGGCAGCACGUGUACUAAUACUGAAAUGAUCAGAAAAGAUUAGCAUGGACCCUGUGCAAGAAUGACAUGCAAAUUCAUGAAGAAGUCCAUAUUUUU